UAAUAAAGGUAAACACUGUGACGUCAUGUCCGUCUUACUGGGCAUGCGCAGACUGUUUAGAAGUGCAUUGUGGGAUGUAAUUACUGUAACAUGAUCCAGACGGCAUAAAAAACACAUUCGGGUGACAGAGUUAAGAAAUCGUGUUGAAUAUAAAUGUAAUGAGGUGAUUGACCUGUAAUUGGUAUAUCAAAUAUGAACGCGGAAUGAAUACCAGUUAGACCAAGCCAGCUUUACAGACACUGACUCUCUCAAAGACAGCAAGGUACAUUAUACAGUUAAUUGAAAACUGUAAUCUCAAACAUAUCUAAUGCUACUUCAACACUUUAUCAUAUACUUAGCAGUUGAAUAUUCUGUAUAAUUGAAAUUAAUCUUCUAUUAGUUUACAGUGACGAUUCUUGCAGGCUAUAUAAUGCAGGCACGGCCCGUUGUGUAUCAUUCAAUCUUUAUCUUUCUCACUUUCUUAUAAAGGCAUAAUGAUCGAUAAUCUCUUGUGUUGCAGUGUGGAAUGUUAAUUUAUUGUGACUAAGGCUAAUCCCUUUCUCCAGACAUUAAUUGAUCACUCACCAACAACUGACAAGGGAUUACUCCUCGUAAAGGCAGUACUAAGUGAUACAGUAUACUGCAGGUUAACUAGAUUAAUUAACUAAUUGAGGUUAAAUGAGAUUGUUUACUUAGAGUGUGAUGUAAUCCGUUUGAUGUCGAAUUACAAAGAGUGAAUCUUCAAAAAGGUUAAGCAUACCCAACACUACUGGUAGCACCUGCCAUUCACAAAUAGUGUUGUUCUGAUACAUCAAGCUAUAAUACUGACACGUUGCUUAAGGGUUAUCGGAAUAAAUUUGAAUUUAAAUUUCACAUGUUUUCCUCCUAGGCUGGCAGAUGAGACAUACAUGAAGAAGCUGGACAGUUGGCAGCUUUCCCUAAGGCAAGACGUGUCCGUUGACCACCAUCCCAAAACCCAUUCCCUGACAUGAAGAAGGAUCUGUCAUGGGUCAAUACCGAGUAUGGAAUCCCUUGUGGUGUGGUGUGGUGUGGUGUGGUGUGUAACGUAAUAUAUGUGGGUAGGUUAGUGACUGAAUUUGCGGAGAUGUGUGUUCGUGGUACUUCUUUGGGAGUGUGAUGUGUAUUUUGUCUCGUAAGCCAAAAUAGUUGUUUAAAUAGUGACACUUUAAUAAACUAUUCUUCUUCUUCUUCUUUUUGUUCAUUGUCAAGAUGCCGUGUAUAACUUCCUAGACUGCUGACAUGUAUUAUCAUGUUUUAUCUUCAAAUACCACGAUGUGCCCACUGAUACCGUCAUUAUGUUGCGAUAUAUUAUAUGAUUGCUUUGUAUAACAUCGGCAUGAUGUUCACUUUCAUUGGGACUGGAUUCUUUGCACAAUAGCCAGAGUAUCUCACAGUUGAAUAUUUUUUUAUCAUUUGCAUUUACAUAAGUAAAGAAAAUAUCAAUUUAAUCUGAAUACGUCAAUGUGUCAAUUUCUUGUUCUAAAAAGUACAGGUAUAAGUAUUCAUAUUCGACUUCUUAUCAUUUGUAUUUGUAAGAAUUUUUUUAAUUUUCUUGUGCCUGUUGUACAUUACAUUUACAGUCGUAGUUUGUUGACUUUGCUAACGAUAUUAGGCUGAGCCCCGAGAAAUGUUUUAAACAUUUGAUUGCAUUUUAAGCAAUUACGUACCGUUUGGACAAUAUUCAUACCAACAAAUGUAACAGUGGCAAAAGUCAAAUAAACAAAGAUGGCGGAUGCAUUAAAAUUUCGGAGUUAAAUCAGUACUUUUAAAAAAUCGGGAAUAGAACCUGGGUUCCAGCCACUAAUGCCUACGUCCACUUUUGCCUACAGUUACUAUUGCCUACAAAAACAUAAAGCAGUGUGGAAUAAUGCCUACACAAAGAAAACAACAUACCCAUGCUAGGAAUGAACUCUUCCAAUAUUAGAUUUCUUUGAAAUCAGCAAAUAUCUGCUGGUGUAUACUAUAAGAACUAAUGCAAUGAUGCAGAAAUCAUAAAUUAUUACUGUUAGUGUUAUGGCAAUGUGAAAUAAAAA
rnacentral:lncRNA from 1 species